CACGGAAGCUGCCUCCUGUAGAGAGAGAUGGCACUGGCUGCAGCUAGGGGGAGCUCCAGAGCACAGCUCCUCCCGGGCCCUUAGUAAGCCAGCCGAGGGAAGCUCAGAACUCUCUGCUCCUCCAUGCUCUGGAUGAUAGCCAAAGACAGCUGAAUCCCGCCCUGCCCGUUUUUGUGCGCCCUGCCGCCCCGCCGUUUGCUGCCUGCCGGACCCCGCCACGUCGCCGGAUCCAGCCGUGCGCCGCCGGACCCGGUUCUACCAGCAUCUCUACAAACCAUAGAGAGCAGACGUCAUCUAAUCAGCACACAGCCCCGGGUUUGGUGGUGCCCAGACGCAGGAUCCACUUGGAUUCUUUUAUUAAGAGCUGCUUUGCCCUAUCCUUUCCUCUCAAAUCUACAGGGUCAGUCGGAUAGUAGAUCUGUGCGCUUUCAUUCUUUCUUUGAACUUCCGAGUUGUUUGGCUUGCAUAGUAAAGAUUGCAGGAACAGGUCAUGAACUUACCUUGGAGAUUAUAAUUAAUGGCUACAGUAAGACGAGACACUAUUGAACUGCAAUUUUUUCAUCUGAAAUACACGUUCAGUUCUCCCUUGUUCCACAAUGAAGGAGCCAGGAGGGCGGUUUCAACUUCCACAGUUGCAGCCAAAAUCCCAGCACAUGCCCUAGGAAAAGACCUCUCCUGAAAGAAACCCAUGCACCAGUCACCUCAACCAUCACUGCCCAAACAACAGCAGACUACAUGAUCACCCAGCCCCGGCACCCUGAAUGAGGCAGAUCAUGUUCCCUGUCAUUUCGUCUUCCUUGUCUUCCUUCCUUUUUCUAUCAUUCAGCUUGAUCUUUUUUUAAUAUGUUGUCGUGUUUAAGUUAUGAUGGAGUAAUUCAAUACAUGAUGUUGUUACACUGAGUGCAAUAUGUCUUGUAUUAUGCUAUUACAGUAUGUAUGCCUUAUUCAUAUUUCAUGAUGUAUUGUGU